rnacentral:rRNA from 1 species
UACGUAGGGGGCAAGCGUUGUCCGGAAUUACUGGGUGUAAAGCGCGUGUAGGCGGGAGGCCAAGUCUGCUGUGAAAUCGCCCGGCUCAACUGGGCGGGGUCGGUGGAAACUGGUCACCUGGAGGACGGUAGAGGCGAGUGGAAUUCCCGGUGUAGUGGUGAAAUGCGUAGAGAUCGGGAGGAACACCAGUGGCGAAGGCGACAACCUGGCUCCAGACUGACACUGAGGGGCGAAAGCGUGGGGAGCAAACAGG